GUAGAAGUACAAAAUGGACGCGUGACAGCUUGCUUUGAUUCGAUAAAAGGCAAAUGUCAGAGGAAAGACCCUCCUUGUAAGUACCUUCACCCACCUCAACACCUGAGGGAACAGUUACUUCAAAAUGGUCGAAACAACUUAAUUAUUAAAAACCUCCAGUUGCAAGCUGCACAGGCUGCGGCGGCUGGGCUACAACCACUGGUGCCUGGAAUGAUUCCAACAGUCGCAAGUUUGAAUUAUGGAAAGGCCAGCGGUAAGGCAGUGGCGUACCCCACCGUAAUCCCCGGACAAUUCCCUGUUUUGGUUAGUGUUAAACCACAUUCUUUUACUUACUUUCAAUCUCUGCUAAGACAAUAAAGACC